UACAGAGGUCCCAAGCGUUGUUCGGAUUCACUGGGCGUAAAGGGUGCGUAGGUGGCCAGGUAAGUUUGAUGUGAAAUCCCCAGGCUUAACCUGGGAACUGCAUCCGAUACUGGUUGGCUUGAAUCCGGGAGAGGGAUGCGGAAUUCCAGGUGUAGCGGUGAAAUGCGUAGAUAUCUGGAGGAACACCGGUGGCGAAGGCGGCAUCCUGGACCGGCAUUGACGCUGAGUGAGCGAAAGCCAGGGGAGCAAACGGG
rnacentral:rRNA from 1 species